rnacentral:rRNA from 1 species
GACGAACGCUGGCGGCGUGCUUAAUACAUGCAAGUCGAACGGAAAGGCCUCUUUCGGGGGGUACUCGAGUGGCGAACGGGUGAGUAACACGUGAGUAACUUGCCCUUGACUAUGGGAGAACUUACGGCAAGUGGGGCUAAUUCCGGACAGGAGCUCUUGUUGCCUGGUUGGGUUUGGAAUGUUUCGGUGGUUGGGGGUGGACUGGCGGCUUAUCCGCUUGUUGGUGGGGUAGUGGCUUACCAAGGCUUUGACGGGUAGCCGGCCUGAGAGGGUGACCGGCCACAUUGGGACUGAGAUACGGCCCAGACUCCUACGGGAGGCAGCAGUGGGGAAUAUUGCACAAUGGGUGGAAGCCUGAUGCAGCAACGCCGUGUGCGGGAUGACGGCCUUCGGGUUGUAAACCGCUUUCGCUCAUGACGAAGCUUUGUGUGACGGUAGUGGGUAAAGAAGCACCGGCUAACUACGUG